UACCCCUCGCUUUAUCCUCGCUCUUCCUUUGUGUGGGUUGCUUCGUGCAGUGGAAAGACGAUUUGCCCAUUCUUUCCAUGCGUCCGUCAUCGUUCUUAAGGAAGAGUUGCCCGGCUUGCCCACGCGUCCAUCAUCGCUGGACCUGCUUUCGGCUUCUUCUGUGCUUUUCGCCUUUCUCUCUCACCAUUCUCAGCUUUUGCUGUUAUGAACCCUGGCUUUCUUUGUCUCGAAAACGCCGGUUUGUCUCGCUCAUCAUCCUUGCCGUCUCUCUCACAAAUUAUCAACAACGAUGGUCUCUUGCCGGAAAAAGCAGUCUGCAGCUAGAACUUUUUUCGAUUUUUCAUUCGAAUCGAUUCCAUUUCUUACCCAAAAAAGUUAGCGUUUACUGGCUCGGAUCCUCCUCUUCUUCUUCAUCCAAACCAGUAGCCCCACCUUCGAUUAUUACCGACGGAAACAUGACAUAUUAAGGCGGAACAACAAAACUGUAACACUUAUAAGAAAGAGCUCCAAACCCGCGAAGAAAUCUAAUAUCUAACUGCAUGGUUCUCUCUUA